rnacentral:rRNA from 1 species
AGUGAACGCUGGCGGUAGGCCUAACACAUGCAAGUCGAACGGCAGCACAGUAAGAGCUUGCUCUUACGGGUGGCGAGUGGCGGACGGGUGAGGAAUACAUCGGAAUCUACUUUUUCGUGGGGGAUAACGUAGGGAAACUUACGCUAAUACCGCAUACGACCUACGGGUGAAAGCAGGGGAUCUUCGGACCUUGCGCGAUUGAAUGAGCCGAUGUCGGAUUAGCUAGUUGGCGGGGUAAAGGCCCACCAAGGCGACGAUCCGUAGCUGGUCUGAGAGGAUGAUCAGCCAAACUGGAACUGAGACACGGUCCAGACUCCUACGGGAGGCAGCAGUGGGGAAUAUUGGACAAUGGGCGCAAGCCUGAUCCAGCCAUACCGCGUGGGUGAAGAAGGCCUUCGGGUUGUAAAGCCCUUUUGUUGGGAAAGAAAAGAAGCAGGUUAAUACCCCGAUGUUCUGACGGUACCCAAAGAAUAAGCGCCGGCUAACUUCGUG